AUUUUGAUUCCCCAAUCUCCGCUUUAAAAUGUCGUUAUGCUUCGUCCUUCUCUUCAUCUCUUGUGGUUUCCCAAAUCCAGAUGUUAAAGUUCGUUAUUUUGAGAGUGGAGCAGCUCGGAUCAUUUCAUUUCUUGUAAAUGUAUAAUCACUUCUUGCCGCCCUCUUUGAUUGAUUGAUUCAAUUGGGCAAUGUGUAAACAGAAAUUUGGGUUCUAUAAGUGUGAUUUAGCCGCCUUCCUUGAUUGAUGGAUUAGAUCACUUGGGUAUUGUUAUAAAUAAGAUUUUGGGUAUUAGAAAGCCUAUCACCAUUCCCUUCCUUUGAUUGAUGGAUUCACUUGGGUAUUGUCCUAAAUAGAAUUUUAGGUCAUGUAAGUGUGUAUUAUAUUGCUUGGAUUAAUGGAUUCACUUCGGUAUUGUCUUAAAUAGAAUUUUAGGUCAUUCAAGUCUAUUGUAUCACUUCAUUUCUAGGAAAUUUAGAGCCAUUUCCUUCCUUGCUUCGAUUGAUGGGAUUCACUUGCAUAUUGUCCUAAACAGAAUUUUAGGUCAUUUAAGUUUGUAUGACCUCAGUUUUAGUAAACCUUCUCCUUUGAUUGAUUGGCUUACUUGGGCAAUCUUGUAAAUAAAAAUUUGGGCUGCUUGAGUGCCAGUUAGGUCUUCAAACUGAAUAUAUUGGGGUUGCGGUGGUAAUGUUUUUUUCGUAUUAAAGGAUGGCCUGAUCAAGUAGAUGACAUUGGAGAUAUUGUCGCCUGCAAGAAGAUCAACUAAGGUUUUAUUACAUACGGUGAUUGGUGAAAGGGAUAUUGGGACGGUUCAAUCUGAAAACAUGAUUACAAAACGAUUGUAAUGUGAUCUCUGAUUGAGCCGCGCCAAUAUCACUUGUAUAUCAUCACAGCAAUCAGAAACAGGUUUCCAAAGCAACGAGGAUUCUCACCGUCACAUACGGCCAUAUUCAGGCUACUUUAGAUUUACUGUUACUCUCUUGGCUAGUCAGGAUUAAUGCAACAAAAGUGGAAUAGACAAGGAUCUAGAUUGGAAGAGAUAGUGAUACGGCAAAUCAUAACAAAGUUCUUAGCUUAGUACUUUUCCAUCCUCGAAUGAUUAAGGAGCGAGUCAGCAGUUGGUAAAUUGGAUUCCAGCAUUGUCAUGAGAGAUCACCCAAGGUAUGUCAAAAGAUCUUUUAAAAAGGUGAAACUUUAAAUGAAUGCUGAUCUACGGCUGCCUUUAUCUGUACAUGUAAGUCAAUCUUGAAAUUGGCGGCAUAAAAGAGUUGAACCUAUUAGCAAUUUGGUUGACAAUAUAUCUUUUGUAUAGUUCACUCCAUUUAUCAACUUGUAUUCUCAUUUUUCAAUAAUGUGUA